CCUGCCCCUAAAAACAUUGCAGGCAUGGCUGGCUGCUGUGUCCCAUGCACAUCAGUAGGUGGCAGAGAGGAGAGAGGCUAUGUCUACACUCAGUGUUCUGACCUGUGAGCCUCUGAGUGAUUAGUAGCCUAACACU